AGAUUGAACGCUGGCGGCAGGCCUAACACAUGCAAGUCGAGCGGCAGCACGGGUACUUGUACCUGGUGGCGAGCGGCGGACGGGUGAGUAAUGCCUAGGAAUCUGCCUGAUAGUGGGGGAUAACGUUCGGAAACGGACGCUAAUACCGCAUACGUCCUACGGGAGAAAGUGGGGGAUCUUCGGACCUCACGCUAUCAGAUGAGCCUAGGUCGGAUUAGCUAGUUGGUAGGGUAAAGGCCUACCAAGGCUACGAUCCGUAACUGGUCUGAGAGGAUGAUCAGUCACACUGGAACUGAGACACGGUCCAGACUCCUACGGGAGCAGCGAGUGGGAAUGUGGACAGU
rnacentral:rRNA from 1 species